CUACGGGAGGCUCCAGUGAGGAAUAUUGCACAAUGGGGGGAACCCUGAUGCAGCAACGCCGCGUGGAGGAUGACGCAUUUCGGUGUGUAAACUCCUUUUAUAUGUCAAGAAAAUGACGGUAGCAUAUGAAUAAGCACCGGCUAACUCCGCGCCAGCAGCCGCGGGUAAUACGGAGGGUGCAAGCGUUACUCGGAAUCACUGGGCGUAAAGGACGCGUAGGCGGGUUGGAAAGUCAGGUGUGAAAUCCUACAGCUUAACUGUAGAACUGCACUUGAAACUUCUAAUCUAGAGUAUGGGAGGGGGAGAUGGAAUUAGUGGUGUAGGGGUAAAAUCCGUAGAUAUCACUAGGAAUACCUAAAGCGAAGGCGAUCUCCUGGAACAUUACUGACGCUAAGGCGUGAAAGCGUGGGGAGCAAACAGGAUUAGAUACCCGCGUAGUC
rnacentral:rRNA from 1 species